rnacentral:rRNA from 1 species
UACAGAGGUCUCAAGCGUUGUUCGGAAUUACUGGGCGUAAAGGGUGCGCAGGCCGCGCGGGCAGUCAAAUGUGUAAUCCAGGGGCUCAACCCCUGAACUGCGCUUGAUACUUCCGCGCUCGAGCUUUGGAGAGGAGUCUAGAAUUCUCGGUGUAGCAGUGAAAUGCGUGGAUAUCGAGAAGAACACUUAGGGCGUAGGCAAGACUCUGGACAAAUGCUGACGCUCAUGCACGAAGGCUAGGGUAGCGAACGGG